rnacentral:rRNA from 1 species
GGCGAACGGGUGAGUAACACGUGGGUGAUCUGCCCUGCACUUUGGGAUAAGCCUGGGAAACUGGGUCUAAUACCGAAUACACCUCAUGGGCUGCAUGGUUUGUGGGGGAAAGCUUUUGCGGUGUGGGAUGGGCCCGCGGCCUAUCAGCUUGUUGGUGGGGUGAUGGCCUACCAAGGCGACGACGGGUAGCCGGCCUGAGAGGGUGUCCGGCCACACUGGGACUGAGAUACGGCCCAGACUCCUACGGGAGGCAGCAGUCGGGAAUUUUGCUCAAUGGGGGAAACCCUGAAGCAGCAACGCCGCGUGAGGGAUGAAGGCCUUCGGGUUGUAAACCUCUUUUCUCAGGGAAGAUGAUGACGGUACCUGAGGAAUAAGCCACGGCUAACUACGUGCCAGCCGCCGCGG